GUGGAAAACCGGGGUCGCCGGAAUGCUGCGGGGUCGCCGGAACAUUCCGGCGACCCCGCAGCAUUCCGGCGAAUUCGGUGCGCGGA
rnacentral:sRNA from 1 species